rnacentral:rRNA from 1 species
AUUGAACGCUGGCGGCAUGCCUUACACAUGCAAGUCGAACGGCAGCACGGACUUCGGUCUGGUGGCGAGUGGCGAACGGGUGAGUAAUGUAUCGGAACGUACCUUUCAGUGGGGGAUAACGUAGCGAAAGUUACGUUAAUACCGCAUAUUCUGUGAGCAGGAAAGCAGGGGAUCGCAAGACCUUGCGCUGAUUGAGCGGCCGAUAUCAGAUUAGCUAGUUGGUGGGGUAAAGGCCUACCAAGGCUACGAUCUGUAGCGGGUCUGAGAGGAUCAUCCGCCACACUGGAACUGAGACACGGUCCAGACUCCUACGGGAGGCAGCAGUGGGGAAUUUUGGACAAUGGGGGCAACCCUGAUCCAGUCAUGCCGCGUGAGUGAAGAAGGCCUUCGGGUUGUAAAGCCCUUUCGGCCGGGAAGAAAUCGCAUAGGUUAAUACCCUGUGUGGAUGACGGUACCGGAAUAAGAAGCACCGGCUAACUACGUGCCAGCAGCCGCGGUAAUACGUAGGGUGCGAGCGUUAAUCGGAAUUACUGGGCGUAAAGCGUGCGCAGGCGGUUUCGUAAGAGAGAGGUGAAAUCCCCGGGCUCAACCUGGGAACUGCCUUUGUGACUGCGAGGCUAGAGUACGGCAGAGGGGGGUGGAAUUCCACGUGUAGCAGUGAAAUGCGUAGAGAUGUGGAGGAACACCGAUGGCGAAGGCAGCCCCCUGGGCCGAUACUGACGCUCAUGCACGAAAGCGUGGGUAGCAAAC